rnacentral:rRNA from 1 species
GAUGAACGCUGGCGGCGUGCCUAAUACAUGCAAGUCGAGCGAACGGACUAGAAGCUUGCUUCUCUGAUGUUAGCGGCGGACGGGUGAGUAACACGUUGAUAACCUACCUAUAAGACUGGGAUAACUUCGUGAAACCGGAGCUAAUACCGGAUGAUAUUUUGAACCGCAUGGUUCAAAAGUGAAAGACGGUCUUGCUGUCACUUAUAGAUGGAUCCGCGCUGCAUUAGCUAGUUGGUAAUGUAACGGCUUACCAAGGCAACGAUGCAUAGCCGACCUGAGAGGGUGAUCGGCCACACUGGAACUGAGACAAGGUACAGACUCCUACGGGAGGCAGCAGUAGGGAAUCUUCCGCAAUGGGCGAAAGCCUGACGGUGCAACGCCGCGUGAGUGAUGAAGGUCUUCGGAUCGUAAAACUCUGUUAUUAGGGAAGAACAUAUGUGUAAGUAACUGUGCACAUCUUGACGGUACCUAAUCAGAAAGCCACGGCUAACUACGUG